rnacentral:sRNA from 1 species
UCAAGUCUUGCAAAGUCAUUCAGAGUUUA